rnacentral:rRNA from 1 species
UACAGAGGGUGCAAGCGUUAAUCGGAGUUACUGGGCGUAAAGGGCGCGUAGGCGGUUAUACAAGUGAGAUGUGAAAUCCCCGGGCUUAACCUGGGAACUGCAUUUUAGACUGUAUAACUGGAGUACUGUAGAGGGCAGUGGAAUUUCCGGUGUAGCGGUGAAAUGCGUAGAUAUCCGGAGGAACACCGGUGGCGAAGGCGGCUUCCUGGACCGACACUGACGCUGAGGCGCGAAAGCUAGGGGAGCAAACGGG